rnacentral:rRNA from 1 species
UACGUAGGGUGCAGGCGUUAAUCGGAAUUACUGGGCGUAAAGCGUGCGCAGGCGGUUUGCUAAGACAGGUGUGAAAUCCCCGGGCUUAACCUGGGAACUGCAUUUGUGACUGCAUGGCUGGAGUGCGGCAGAGGGGGAUGGAAUUCCGCGUGUAGCAGUGAAAUGCGUAGAUAUGCGGAGGAACACCGAUGGCGAAGGCAAUCCCCUGGGCCUGCACUGACGCUCAUGCGCGAAAGCUCGGGGAGCGAACGGG